AAAUAGAUAAGCUAAAUUUUAAAGCUUUUGGGCUCAUAACCCAACAAUGGAUUAUCUCCUCUAUUUA
rnacentral:tRNA from 1 species